UAAGUGCUUCCAUGUUUUAGUAG
rnacentral:miRNA from 19 species